rnacentral:lncRNA from 1 species
UUAAUCCAGAUUGAGAUUCCUGAUGAUGAGAGAAAGAAGCAAUCCCAGAACUCUGAUGAAACAUAACACCAAGAGAACCCAAUUUUGGUUUGAGAUUAUGCAUUACAGUUCUUGAUUUGGACAAGUAAAAGCCCAUAAUUGGAAGUCAAGAAAGAAUCAAGGUAGAUAGUAUUGCCUUAGCAGAAAAUAUGAUAAGAUUGUUAUGGACUGACAAAAAUGUCGUAGCCUUUUUGGCACCGAAUAUAUAAUAGUACUAGAUUACGAAAGAUAGCAGUACUUUCUUUUAAGGGAUAAUUGCAGAAACCUCCCCUGAGGUUUCUGACAUUUUCACUAACCUCCCCUGUGAUUUAAAAAAUUACACUAACCUCCCCUGAGGUUACUAAUCCUUUGCAAAUUUAGUCCAAACGAUUAAAAUAUUAUUUUAGGGAGUGAAAUUAGAAUUUUGUACCAGAUUUGCCCUUUGUGCUACAUAUCCAAUGAAUGACAAAGUACUAUAAAUCAAUUAACAAUUAAUAAAUUUUAAGGAGUAUAAUUUAUGGGCAAACACGCAUUAUUCAUUUAAAGUACCAGCUCUUUACGAGUAUUUUACUUUCAAAUAUUUAAUUUAUGAUAAAUAUAUCAAUAUUUGUAAGUAAAAUUCAAAAAUUGUUAUAGUAAUAUUCUUGCAAAAUGGAAAUCGAUAGGUUAUUUAUUUAAUAUAAAUUAAAUAUUUUUUAAAAAAAAUAAAUGGCCCAUAAAAUAUUAAUUUUUUAUGACUUUCAUCCAUUACACGAGUAAAGUAUUCGCUCUUUAUGUGCAUUUUAUUUUGAAUCAUUUAAUUUAUGUUAAAUACAUAAAUGUUUGUAACUAAAAUUGAAAAAGUGUUAUAUUAAUAUUUUUACGGAAGAGAGAUUGGUAGGUUUUGUAUUUAACAAAAAUUAAAUAUUUGAAAGUAAAUACAAAUCUGUAUUUGAGCGUAAAUAUUUGUAUUAAAUUAAAUGUUUGAAAGUAAAAUACCCUUAAAAAACCGGUACUUUGAAUAGUUACCGGCUCUUUAUAGGCAAACACGCAUUACUCAUUUAAAGUACCGACUUUUUACGGAUAUUUUACUUUCAAACAUUUAACUUAUGAUAAAUAUAUCAAUGUUUGUUAGUAAAAUUCAAAGAGUGUUACAGUAAUAUUCUUGUAAAAAGGAAAUCGGUAGGUUAUUUAUUUAAUAUAAAUUAAAUAUUUUUUUUUAAAAAAAUGAUCCAUAAAGUAUUAAUUCUUUAUGACUUUCAUCCAUUACAUGAGUAAAGUAUUGGCUCUUUAUGGGUAUUUUAUUUUGAAUCAUUUAAUUUAUGUUAAAUACAUAAAUGUUUGUAACUAAAAUUGAAAAAGUGUUAUAUUAAUAUUUUUACGAAAGAGAGAUUGGUAGUUUUGUAUUUAACAAAAAUUAAAUAUUUGAAAGUAAAUACAAAUAUGUAUUUGAGCUUAAAUAUUUGUAUUAAAUUAAAUGUUUGAAAGUAAAAUACCCAUAAAGAGCCAGUACUUUAAAUAGGUGAUGCAUAUUUGCCUAUAAACUAUACUCCUUAAAGUUUAUUAAUUGUUAAUUGAUUUGUAAUAUUUUGUCAUUCAUUGAACAUAUAGUACAAAGGACAAAUUUGGUAAAAAAUUCUAAUUUCACUCCUUAAAAUAAUAUUUUAAUCGUUUGGACUGAAUUUGCAAAGGAUUAGUAACCUCAGGGGAGGUCAGUGUAAUUUUUCAAACCACAGGGGAGGUCAGUGCAAAUAUCAGAAACCUCAGGGAAGGUUUUUGCAAUUAUCCCUUCUUUUAAAGGUCGAAGAGACGAGGAAAACACUAAUGAGUCAACACAAGGUGACCAUGACUUGAUUCAGGGUUCAUUUGUGUGUUGGAAAGGUACAUGCCACGUUAUUUCAAACCGUUUCGGGUUUUGGAUACAUGUCAUGUAAUGUAUUUUUAAAUUUUUAAAUUUUUUUUAAAUAUAAGUUAUAUAAUACUAUCUACAUUUGUUAGCAAAAAAAAAAUUAUAGUGAUAGUGCAUAAAAACUUCAUUCAUUUAAUUAAGAGUGAUUCAUUAAAGGGCAAAAGAACUUUUCUGUUUGUACAAUUUUAGCCCUCUAACCAUUUGGUAUAUGUGUUUUGUCAUGUGAUGUGAUUUUAAAAUUAUACAAGCAAAUGCCUACAAUCCUAUCAUUUAUAUAUAUAUAUAUAUAAGUUUUGUAGGAAUAAAAGAAAAGGAAAUAGUGGCUGAUUACGCAUUUUCUCUUCGGUGAUGAGUGCUAAGAUUUUGUAACUUUAAGUAGUGCAAAAUCUAAGUAAUCAAGGUUACUGUGUUGACACUCAACACACAUUGGUGCAGAAUUUAAGUAAUCAAGGUUAACUAGAGUGAGUGUGAUAAAUCUGAAAUCUGAAAUUUGAAAUUUGUAUUCAUUAAGUCGUUGACUUGUAAAUAUUGAAAAUACUAACAUUUGAACACAUUCUACAUUAAAUGACAAGUAAAUAACUUAUCACGGUGCUUGUUUCAUGCUCUGGAAUUGGAAUUGGAGAUGGAAUAAUAUACAAAAAAUCAGUAUGGGUUUUGAACCCUGGUAUCAUUCCACAGACCGAUGCUUGGUACAAGCAUAGUUGGAAUGACAUCAAAAUUAAUUUUUCUUUUUUUUUUUAAUUAUUGUUCUCAUCUCUCACAGCUUUAUACGAAACCUGCUUAGAUUCCUCAUCCAUCUCAGACAUCUUCCUCCCAACAAACCUCUUCACAGAGAAAAACUUGUUUUCAAGAUUCACCACAGCCUGUCUUUUUGCAAUCUGCCCAACCAAUCUAUCCUUGUUUUUGGUAUAGGCCACCACAGAAGGCAUCGUUCUUUGCCCUUCAGCAUUAGUAACUAUAGUAGGCUUCCCUGCUUCCAUGGCAGCCACUACUGAAUUCGUUGUCCCCAAAUCAAUCCCAACAACCUUUUCAUUCACUACACUCAAAGAUCUGUAGAAUUGAGGUUUAUAAAAAUGGAGUUUUAUAAUGCAAAAAUGGGUUCUGAAAUUGGGUUGCUGCUGCUGCUGAUGAAGACACCAUUUUUAUCAACUUUCAGGCUGAUUUUUGGGCCAAAAGAUAAACUUUAUUGGUGAAUAAUUUGAGCAAAAUCGAGGGAACAGAUUGGUUCUUAAUUUUUUUAAUUUUUCUCUUCACAAAGAGAAGAGAACAUAAGAGAUCGAUUGUGAUAGGGAGGACGAUUUGAUGGCGAGAGAGGAGAGGAAAGGGUCUACUGGAGAAGAGAGGAAAUGUUUUAUCUUUUAUUUAUACUGUUGGAAAUGAAACGGAGGAUUUGAGUGAUUCCUCCCAAUUUACUCAGGAAUCAUGAAUCCCCAAAAUUUUAGGUAUGAUUCCAAUAUUUUAAUUCCCAUUACAGUACACCAGGCACCAAGUAUUGGAAUCAUCGUCAUUCCCCAUACCAAAAUCCUCUAACCAAGCAGCCCCUUUUUUUGAAGUAGGUUUUGCUUACACAAUUCAAUUCAGACUCACUUAAUUAAUUAAUAUGUUCUAUUUUUUGUUAUCAAACAUGUCUGAAUAUAUUAAAAUCUAGAUCUAUUAAAUUUAAAUAUUAAAUUGGGUUAUCAAAUGGGGUCUUAGCUUUAUUUAACUAAGGUAUCUUAUCAUUUGACUUAAUUAAUCUAUUCUUCUUGAAUGUUUUGGUUGCAUCAAUGCAUGUUUUUCUGGCUGCCUAAUCUAUGUUUUAUCAUGUGCUAUUAAUUUUAUUUUAUUUCUCAUAAAUAAAAAAGCUUGUAAAGGCCAAGUGAAUUUCAUGUUUGGUCAAUUAACACGUUUAUUUCUACUAUUUUUAAUGGGUGAUUUGUUUCUUAGGGUUUGUUUGAUAACAUAAAAAAGUAGGGGUGAGCAUCGAAUUCGAAAUCGGUAAUUUGGUAGCUUAAAAUCGGUAAUUUUCGAUAAAUGGUUCUAGGAAAAUUCGACCUAAUUCGCAUUCGAAAUAGAAAUUACCGAAUUCGAAUUCAAUCCGAUUUCAAUUCGGAAAACGGACAUUUACCGAUUUAACCGAAUUUCAGAAAACAAAUUCUUUGGACCAUUUUUUAUCAGCAAAUAGCAAUACUAUUACACUAACUGAGCCACAAACAAUGAAACAAACUGUAGACACCAAAUUUUUAAAUAAUUGUUAUCCUAAUUUUUUAUUUUUAGUUUUAGUAAUAAUUCUUAUCUAUUUUUAUUUUUCUUUAAUUUCAUGAUUUUUAGUUUUGGACUUUUAGUAUUUCUAGAUUAUUAUUGUCCUUUAUUUUAUUUUAGUUUUAUUUUUGUAUUCGUUUUCACCCUUUAGCUAUUUAUUUUUUAUUAUAGGACUUUUUUAGCAUAAAAUUUGUCAAAAAGAGAAAAUUUUUUAUAAAAAUAUGUUUUAUUUCCUUUUACUGUUUAUUAAUCGAAAAAAAAAAGAGGAAAAGAGAGGAAAAAUCUUAGCUUUUCGUUUUAUCUUUUGUUAAUUAGUUUUGUACAUUUAUUUAAGAUUUUGUUUAAACUAUUUUUGUAUUAUUGUUAUUUAAUUAAGUGAUUAAAAAAAAAAAAAAGCCACGCGCGCUGCAUUCCGUUCCAGUUUCGUACGAGGCAGCAAAAAUAGCGCAGCCCUGUUUUGUUUUUCUUCCAGUUUUCUUCCAUUUUUUCUCAAUUUUUUGGGCUCUGUUAGAUCAUCACAGUACUGUUACACUUGGCUUUCAUCUACAAGCCCAGAGCAAUCUAGAAAUGGAAGCUAAUCCGAUGGCUGAGAGGGGAACGGAGACUUGAAGCUGCUUCUGAACCAUUGAGAUGAGGUUUAAGGGGUUUGGAUGGGAUAUAAAAGCAAAGCUAAGGGUUUAGAAAUAGAGGCGUUUUUGGAUGACGGCUGAAUGAGAGUAAGGGAGAAUGAAAAUGACGGCUGAAAAAUCUGAGGGAAUGUAGAGGAGCGUAGAAAAGGAGAAGCUUUCGACCAGGAGAUAAAAAACAGAGAGAGAGAGGGCAGCGGGGAGAGUGAAAGGAGGGAAAAAGAAUUGGCGGCUGCAAAGGAAAACAGAGGGGAAGCUUCGUGGAGGUCUGAAAAGAAAAAAGAAGAAAAAAUAGAGGAAAAGAAAAGAGCAAGGGGAGGAUUCCAGUGGCGGCAGAGGGAGGAAGAAAGGAGCUUUGGGGUUGCAAGGACGGUGCUGCGUUAUCAUCACUGUUCUCCUAUUGACAUCCUUUGAAGGCCUGGCAGAAUCAUCCGAAUCCUUUCUUGGUCAUUCCCCGACUCAUUCUGUGAUUAAGGUAAUAUCCUUGAUCUCUUAGAAUUAGAGACUGUUUUCUUUAAUUGCUGGUUUGCACCCUUUCGCUAUCUGCUGGUUCGGUUGUCCCUUGUUGUCUCUCAUUUUCAUUUCCGUAGUUCUGGCUUAAGUUUGGAUUUGGGUUUAUGAUUCACAGUGGGACUGUUAUGCUUGCUUGACUUGAGUGAUGUUUGCCGAGGUUGAAAACAUAGCAAAGCUUCGCAGUUUUGCCUCUUGUUGCUGCUUACUGGUUUUGUUUAGCGUUGGUUUGUAUGAUUGCACGACUUUGUUAGACUGGAGAUGGGUUUGUGCGGUUUGUGAAUCUAAUAGAGUAGACAUAGAAGAGUUGCAAAAUUUUACAGACUUCGCAUGACCUCUUAGUCUGUCUUUUUGUUUCUUUACUUGAACUCUCGGUUUGAUGGCCAUUAGAAUGUUUGGUAAUCCUUCUUGCUGGGGUUUAGAUUUUCUUGGGCAGAGCUUUGUAUAUAAUGUUUGCUGCAGUAAGCUUGAAGUUGUCGGUUUUGUUGCCGCAAUUUUUCUUUUCAUUUUUGGGUCCAAUGUGUGAUAAUGAGUAAGUUUGCAGUGUUUGGAGGGUGAUUUUUCUUUGCAAAAGGUUUCGGUCAACCAGAAGCUAGGAAAGAACUUAUAGCUUUGGCGCUCCCUGUUUUAUUCCUCCUGCAUUUUUGCUGUGCUUGAACCAAACUGAAGAUGCAUGCCUUUGGUUUGUGUUUAGAUUCAGUCUUCAACCUCAUUAGAAUGAUUGGAUUAGGCGCUUAAAUUACUUGGCUUCCAACAAAAUGGAUAACGCUGAUUUUUCUGUGUUUGAUCAAGAAACCGAGAAUUGCAUAAAUCUCAUUUUCAGUUUUGCACGCUUUCUCUUCCUGAAUUCUGUGUUUCAAAUCCAAAAGUUUUAUGUCGAAAAAUAGGAGCAAUGUUUGAUAAUCCUGUUGCCUGGAUUCAGUUUGCAUUGCGCUUAAAUUUGCGCAUACAAACCUGCUGGAAUAAGCCACGCUUGAAGCUCUUGGUCUUGUUGUAGCAGCGUGCGCAACCCCUUUUUCUUUUCCUUAGAGUGCCGCAAGUUUCACCUUCUCUUUCGCUGCAUUUCAUGCCCUCCUGUUUCAAUCAGCUUAUGGGGGUUAGAUGAUUAUGCUUGCAGAUGUUAAAUGACAAUAAGUUGAAGCUGUAAAAUUUGCAGCAGAACAGAAAAAAAAGAAGAAAGCUCUCGCAUUCUCUUUGCUGUUUUCUUACCUGCACUUGCUCACCAAAGUUUCGGCCAUCCAGUUUGCUUGGUUGACCUUAUGUUGGAAAGAGGAAUUAGAUAAGGGGUGUUGGGUUUGCAUUUUUGGUGGCUGGAAUUUUGCAGAAUGCAUGAGCUUCUUUGUGUCUUUUUGCAUGAGUUUCCUUCUAUGUUUUGCUUGUUUAGAUGUUAAAGUUCUAUACUCGGUUGUUUAGUUUAGAGUUUUGAUGUUUGGCGGGUAAAGUUUAGAUCAAAAUUGUGCAUGUGGAUUGAAAUUUGCGUUUGAAAGUUGAAAAUUGCAGCAAGCAUUCCUUUCUGUUGCCUUCCUCGUAGCAUUUGCAUGGCAUUUGCAUGGAAAUCUUUCAAUAAUUUCACUUUGACCCCUUGGCUUCCAACUAAUGCUGCUAUGACCCAAUCAAUUGAAUAAUCUCCUCAAUUUGGUCCUUGGUAGUUUUAAUUUUACAACUCCAUUGCUUGUUUGCUUCAAUUAACUACUAUGCUUUGUUUCAAUUGCACUUAAGUCAUGACUUUAGGGGCUUCAUGAUCAAGUGAGCUUUGUAUUUGCACAUUUCUUUUAAUUUUUCUUAAUUAAAGUGGUACCUUGACCCUUUUAUUGUUUUGAAGCCAUUUUUUCCUUCCUUUGAUUACCAUUGCGAGGGAGGUACACUCUAUCCUUCAUUUCUUGACUUUAUUUGACCCUACGUGCAUAUAUGUGUCUUAUGUGUGCAAUUGCAUGACUUUAAGUGUUUAUUUCAUUUUUACCUUAUUUAUUUCUUUAGUUGCUUAGUUUUGCUUUAAUUUUAGUUCAAUUUCGUCAUUUGGGAGGCACUCGAAUGCCAAAAUUGUAAUAGUUAGGGAUUUAAUUGUUUUAUUCCUUCUAUUUCCCCUUUUAGAUUGUAGUAGGCCUUCCCCCAAAAAAUGUAAUAGUUAGGGCCUUAAUUGCCUUGUGUGUUUUGCAUGUCUAUGUGCUAUGUGUUUAAUCGCUUUCUUAGGUUUUUGGCAUCUAGAUAUGCAUGCUUAUGUGUUAUGUGAAUUACGUGCUCACAUGUCUACUUGCUUUAAUUAUGCACAUUACUUAUAUAUGUGUAUGAUGGAUGCAAAUGCACGUAAUCGUGGCUAGUCCAAUGCUAGUCAUGAUUGUCCCCUCGAGCUCUUGCAAGUCCAAUGCUUGUGAGAGAGCGUUAGUGAAGGACUAGUCCAACGUUAGACCAUUAGAAGCCCUUUGCGCGUUAGAUCAUGAUUGCAUGAUAAAAACACUUCAUUUCAUGCAUAUUUGCACUUUUUAGGGCCUUUUAUCAUUUUGUAUGACAUUCCCCUUAUACGUAUAACCCUUAUCCCUAAUUUCCCUAUAUAUAUACCCCUAUGUAUGAUACAUGACAUUAGAAUUGCAUUUCAUUCUAGAAAUAGGAUUAGGGUAGUGCAUUUGCUUGAUUAGAUUAGGGAAUAACCCCUUGGAUAUGGGAUAUGGACGAGUUUGGCUUUUCUAACCUUAGCACGCUCGUAUUCCCUCUAUUAAAAGGGAAAAUUGAGUCACGAACAUUAGUCCCCCGUAC